UUUAGGAGCUAGCCGUCGAAGGUGGGACAAAUGAUUGGGGUGAAGUCGUAACAAGGUAGCCGUAUCGGAAGGUGCGGCUGGAUCACCUCCUUU
rnacentral:rRNA from 1 species